rnacentral:rRNA from 1 species
UCCGUAGGCGGGCAAUUAAGUCAGAGGUGAAAUCCCACAGCUCAACUGUGGAACUGCCUUUGAUACUGGUUGUCUUGAGUUACAGUGAAGUAGAUAGAAUAUGUAGUGUAGCGGUGAAAUGCAUAGAUAUUACAUAGAAUACCGAUUGCGAAGGCAGUCUACUAACUGUAUACUGACGCUAAUGGACGAAAGCGUGGGGAGCGAACAGAAUUAGAUACCCUGGUAGUCC